rnacentral:rRNA from 1 species
UGCACGAAUGGCGUAACGACUUGGGCGCUGUCUCGAGGAGAGACUCGGCGAAGGUGUACCACCCGUGAAGAUACGGGUUUCCCGCAGCUGGACGGAAAGACCCCGUGGAGCUUUACUGCAGCCUGAUAUUGGAUGUGGUUUUAGCGUGUAUAGGAUAGGUGGGAGGCUGAGAAGCCGGGGCGCCAGCCUCGGUGGAGCCGUCCUUGGAAUACCACCCUCGUUGGAACUACGUCCUAACCGGGGCCCUGGAUCGGGUUUCGAGACAGUGUCAGGUGGGCAGUUUGACUGGGGCGGUCGCCUCCCAAACGGUAACGGAGGCGCCCAAAGGUCCCCUCAGCACGGUUGGAAACCGUGCGGCGAGCGCAAGAGUAUAAGGGGGCUUGACUGCGAGACCUACAAGUCGAGCAGGGACGAAAGUCGGGUCUAGUGAUCCUACGGCGGCAAGUGGAAGCGCCGUGGCUUAACGGAUAAAAGCUACCCCGGGGAUAACAGGCUAAUAGGGCCCAAGAGUCCACAUCGACGGCCCUGUUUGGCACCUCGAUGUCGGCUCAUCUCAUCCUGGGGGGGUAGUACCUCCCAAGGGUUGGGCUGUUCGCCCAUUAAAGAGGUACGUGAGCUGGGUUCAGAACGUCGUGAGACAGUUCGGUCCCUAUCCACUGCGGGCGUAGGUGACUUGAGGGGGGCUGCUCCUAGUACGAGAGGACCGGAGUGGACGCACCUCUGAUGUACCGGUUGUCCCGCCAGGGGCACGCGCCGGGUAGUCAUGUGCGGUUGUGAUAAGCGCUGAAAGCAUCUAAGCGCGAAGCACGCCCCAAGAUGAGGUCACCCACCGGGCAAACCGGGUAAGACCCCAGGUAGACCACCUGGUCGAUAGGCCGGGAGUGGAAGCGCGGCAACGCGUGGAGCCUACCGGUACUAAUCGGUCGAGGGCUUGAUGCU